rnacentral:rRNA from 1 species
GAUGAACGCUGGCGGCGUGCUUAACACAUGCAAGUCGAACGAUGAAGCCCAGCUUGCUGGGUGGAUUAGUGGCGAACGGGUGAGUAACACGUGAGUAACCUGCCCUUGACUCUGGGAUAAGCCCGGGAAACUGGGUCUAAUACCGGAUAGGAGCGCCUGUCGCAUGACGGGUGUUGGAAAGAUUUUUCGGUCAUGGAUGGACUCGCGGCCUAUCAGCUUGUUGGUGAGGUAAUGGCUCACCAAGGCGACGACGGGUAGCCGGCCUGAGAGGGUGAACGGCCACACUGGGACUGAGACACGGACCAGACUCCUACGGGAGGCAGCAGUGGGGAAUAUUGCACAAUGGGCGGAAGCCUGAUGCAGCGACGCCGCGUGAGGGAUGACGGCCUUCGGGUUGUAAACCUCUUUCAGUAGAGAAGAAGCGAAAGUGACGGUACCUGCAGAAGAAGCACCGGCUAACUACGUG